GGGCCGCACGCGCGCUACACUGACGGAGCCAGCGAGUCUAAUCCUUUGCCGAGAGGCAUGGGUAAUCUUGUGAAACUCCGUCGUGCUGGGGAUAGAGCAUUGCAAUUAUUGCUCUUCAACGAGGAAUUCCUAGUAAGCGCAAGUCAUCAGCUUGCGUUGAUUACGUCCC
rnacentral:rRNA from 1 species